UACGAAGGGGGCUAGCGUUGCUCGGAAUCACUGGGCGUAAAGCGCACGUAGGCGGAUUCCUAAGUCGGGGGUGAAAUCCUGGAGCUUAACUCCAGAACUGCCUUCGAUACUGGGAAUCUUGAGUCCGGGAGAGGUGAGUGGAACUGCGAGUGUAGAGGUGAAAUUCGUAGAUAUUCGCAAGAACACCAGUGGCGAAGGCGGCUCACUGGCCCGGUACUGACGCUGAGGUGCGAAAGCGUGGGAGCAAC
rnacentral:rRNA from 1 species